ACCUGGGUGGCUCAGUUGGUUAAGCGUCCGACUUCAACUCAGGUCAUUAUCUCACAGUUUGUGGGUUUGAGUCCCGCAUCAGGCU
rnacentral:tRNA from 1 species